rnacentral:rRNA from 1 species
AACGAACGCUGGCGGCAUGCCUAACACAUGCAAGUCGAACGAGACCUUCGGGUCUAGUGGCGCACGGGUGCGUAACGCGUGGGAAUCUGCCCUUGGGUUCGGAAUAACAGUUAGAAAUGACUGCUAAUACCGAAUGAUGUCUUCGGACCAAAGAUUUAUCGCCCAGGGAUGAGCCCGCGUCGGAUUAGCUAGUUGGUGAGGUAAAGGCUCACCAAGGCGACGAUCCGUAGCUGGUCUGAGAGGAUGAUCAGCCACACUGGGACUGAGACACGGCCCAGACUCCUACGGGAGGCAGCAGUGGGGAAUAUUGGACAAUGGGCGAAAGCCUGAUCCAGCAAUGCCGCGUGAGUGAUGAAGGCCUUAGGGUUGUAAAGCUCUUUUACCCGGGAUGAUAAUGACAGUACCGGGAGAAUAAGCCCCGGCUAACUCCGUGCCAGCCGCCGCAGUAA